CGAUCUCUCCGCUUCUGCUUACUUCACGAAGAUGAAGGGACUUGCAGACGAGCUUGCUGCUGCAGGGAAGCCCCUCGAGGAGGAUGAUAUCGUCUCGCACAUCCUCGAGGGUCUUAUGCAUGAGCCCGACUACAACGGCAGGCCGCCUACACCGCUCACCACUCCGCCAACCUUGCUGCAAAAGGUGGGCGCGGUGGCUACGGCGGCGGACGCGGUGGUCAGGGUGGUGGACGCGGCGGCUACGGCGGCGGCAACUACCACGACAAC